rnacentral:rRNA from 1 species
CCUACGGGAGGCAGCAGUGAGGAAUAUUGGUCAAUGGACGAGAGUCUGAACCAGCCAAGUAGCGUGAAGGAUGACUGCCCUAUGGGUUGUAAACUUCUUUUAUAUGGGAAUAAAAUGUUCCACGUGUGGGAUUUUGUAUGUACCAUAUGAAUAAGGAUCGGCUAACUCCGUGCCAGCAGCCGCGGUAAUACGGAGGAUCCGCGCGUUAUCCGGAUUUAUUGGGUUUAAAGGGAGCGUAGGUGGAUUGUUAAGUCAGUUGUGAAAUUUUGCGGCUCAACCGUAAAAUUGCAGUUGAAACUGGCAGUCUUGAGUACAGUAGAGGUGGGCGGAAUUCGUGGUGUAGCGGUGAAAUGCUUAGAUAUCACGAAGAACUCCGAUUGCGAAGGCAGCUCACUGGACUGCAACUGACACUGAGGCUCGAAAGUGUGGGUAUCAAACAGGAUUAGAUACCCUGGUAGUC